AGGUGUGCCUGCAGGGAGGACUUUCCCAGGUCCUUUGGUGGAUGUUGCACGCAAGCCCAGCUCCCAUCGCAAGGGUCCUCCGAGGGGAAAGAACAAAGCUACCGGUCACAAGAAACCCCAUGAGCCAUUCAAAAUCACGGGACAAAUGGUGAAAGAAUUACUGCAAGCCAAACAAGAAGUGGAUGCAGAGGCUGGGCAGAAGGCGGCAUUUCCCGAAGGAAGCAGUGGUUCCGUGCCAGCCUCUGCUGUAGGAUUGGAAGCGAUGCCAGGCACAGGCACAGGAGGU